rnacentral:rRNA from 1 species
UACGUAGGGUGCGAGCGUUAAUCGGAAUUACUGGGCGUAAAGCGUGCGCAGGCGGUUUUUUAAGCCAGAUGUGAAAUCCCCGGGCUCAACCUGGGAAUGGCAUUUGGGACUGCAAGGCUGGAGUACGGCAGAGGAGACUGGAAUUCCUGGUGUAGCAGUGAAAUGCGUAGAUAUCAGGAGGAAUACCGAUGGCGAAGGCAGGUCUCUGGGCUGAUACUGACGCUCAUGCACGAAAGCGUGGGGAGCAAACAGG